rnacentral:rRNA from 1 species
CCUACGGGUGACAGCAGUGAGGAAUAUUGGUCAAUGGACGAGAGUCUGAACCAGCCAAGUAGCGUGAAGGAUGACUGCCCUAUGGGUUGUAAACUUCUUUUAUAUGGGAAUAAAAUGUUCCACGUGUGGGAUUUUGUAUGUACCAUAUGAAUAAGGAUCGGCUAACUCCGUGCCAGCAGCCGCGGUAAUACGGAGGAUCCGAGCGUUAUCCGGAUUUAUUGGGUUUAAAGGGAGCGUAGGUGGAUUGUUAAGUCAGUUGUGAAAGUUUGCGGCUCAACCGGAAAAUUGCAGUUGAAACUGGCAGUCUUGAGUACAGUAGAGGUGGGCGGAAUGCGGGGUGUAGCGGUGAAAUGCUUAGAUAUCACGAAGAACUCCGAUUGCGAAGGCAGUUCACUGGACUGCAACUGACACUGAGGCUCGAAAGUGUGGGUAUCAAACAGGAUUAGAUACCCGUGUAGUC